rnacentral:misc_RNA from 1 species
UGAGUGCGUGACCACAACCUC